GGAUGAAGAACGCAGCGAAAUGCGAUAAGUAGUGUGAAUUGCAGAAUUCAGUGAAUCAUCGAAUCUUUGAACGCACAUUGCGCCUCCUGGCAUUCCGGGAGGCAUGCCUGUUCGAGCGUCAUUAAAAUCACUCAAGCUUAGGUUCGCCUAUUGCUUGGUCUUGAAGAUGGAAGCUAAGUAAUUAGAAUCCUCUUCGAAAUCCAAUGGCGAAGACCCUUGCUCUCCCAAGUGUAGUAAUAACUUAUUCACUGAAGGAAGCGAGUAAUCUUCUGCCGUAACCCCCAUAUAUUCUAUGAUUGACCUCGGAUCAGGUAGGGAUACCCGCUGAACUUAAGCAUAUCAAUAAGCGGAGGA
rnacentral:misc_RNA from 1 species